GUCUCGUAGUGACCUGCGGAGGGUCAUUACACAAAUAUGAAGGCGGGCUGGAACCUCUCGGGGUUACAGCCUUGCUGAAUUAUUCACCCUUGUCUUUUGCGUACUUCUUGUUUCCUUGGUGGGUUCGCCCACCACUAGGACAAACAUAAACCUUUUGUAAUUGCAAUCAGCGUCAGUAACAAAUUAAUAAUUACAACUUUCAACAACGGAUCUCUUGGUUCUGGCAUCGAUGAAGAACGCAGCGAAAUGCGAUAAGUAGUGUGAAUUGCAGAAUUCAGUGAAUCAUCGAAUCUUUGAACGCACAUUGCGCCCUUUGGUAUUCCAAAGGGCAUGCCUGUUCGAGCGUCAUUUGUACCCUCAAGCUUUGCUUGGUGUUGGGCGUCUUGUCUCUAGCUUUGCUGGAGACUCGCCUUAAAGUAAUUGGCAGCCGGCCUACUGGUUUCGGAGCGCAGCACAAGUCGCACUCUCUAUCAGCAAAGGUCUAGCAUCCAUUAAGCCUUUUUUUCAACUUUUGACCUCGGAUCAGGUAGGGAUACCCGCUGAACUUAA
rnacentral:sRNA from 1 species